GACGAACGCUGGCGGCGUGCCUAAUACAUGCAAGUAGAACGCUGAAGGAGGAGCUUGCUCUUCUGGAUGAGUUGCGAACGGGUGAGUAACGCGUAGGUAACCUGCCUGGUAGCGGGGGAUAACUAUUGGAAACGAUAGCUAAUACCGCAUAACAGUAGAUGUUGCAUGACAUUUACUUAAAAGUUGCACUUGCAUCACUACCAGAUGGACCUGCGUUGUAUUAGCUAGUUGGUGGGGUAACGGCUCACCAAGGCGACGAUACAUAGCCGAGCUGAGAGGGGGGACGGCCACACUUGGACUGAGACACGGCCCAGAAUCCUUCGGGAAGCAGCAGGAGGGGAACUUCGGCAAUGGGCGGAAGGCUGGCCGCGCAACGCCGCGGGAGGGAAGAAGGUUUUCGGAUCGUAAAGCUCUGUUGUAAGGGAAGGACGAGUGUGAGAGUGGAAAGUUCACACUGUGACGGUAUCUUACCAGAAAGGGACGGCUAACUACGUG
rnacentral:rRNA from 1 species